AUCUGGGGUAAGAGAUUUAUGGUCGUGGUUUGCACAAUUAUAUCAUUACAUAUUUACGUGCUGUGUUGAUAACUGUGUACGACUUGAAUAUUUGCGUGGCUCGGAAAUUGCCGUUCGACAUAUUCUUUGUGCGGGUUCAAACACCAUAUACGCGUGUAUAUAAGAACCAGAGGAAUAUGGGCUGUCUAUGAUCAACGAACAAUCUAAUAUAUUGUUAUCGCUUAAAGCAACCAGGAGUCAUGUCACAAAGACGAAAGCUAAACGUAAAACUGAACGGGAAUGAUGAUAAGGAGAAAUUUCAAAGAGAGACGGUUAGACUUCUGGAACAGUUUUUUCAAUUAGAUAUCGAUGAACAAGUUCGUUUUCAUUCGGGAGAUCAAGAAAACGUAUCAAGUCAAAAACCAGGCGGUAACUUGCAGAAAGGAGCUGGUGUCUUAACAGAGGACACUGACGACAUUCCACAAGUUUUCGAGGAUCCACGAACAGAAUUAGAACAAGAAAUCGUGCAUGAGUUGCGCCGUAUAGCAGACGAUAUUGACCGAAAUGGAAAUUUGAAGGCCACCGUCCGCCAAUCAAUUCAAAAUAUUACUGGCUUGCUGGCAUACAACAGCUUUACGAGUGCAGUCCAACAGUACGUUGAAAACCUCGUGGCUGGAGAAGAGUUGCCUUCGUUUUCCAGUUUACAAAAACGUACAUAAAAGCGGCAGGCACAGUAGGGUUGAAUGCCACGCGAAUAAAAGAAAACUGUCUCAAUUACGUUGAGGACAAGUGUGCAGACUGGAUUGUGAAGCACGGUGGAUGGGCGAGUAUGCUGUCGGACGAUUCUGAUGAUUCCACGCCCGAAGUGGACUGAUGACAGUGGCAUGUAAUUUGCCUUACCACAUCAAAGUAGCCAUGGUUCUAUAAGGAUAGACAUUUGAAAUGCACACAAUUUUCUGUAUACAGUUGUACUGAUCAACAAUUUCGUUAACAUUUGAAGCUAGUAUUAUACAGACUAUUCUGUAUGACAUAUUUAUAAAUGACGUUCACAUACAUGUGUAAUUAUUUUUGUUAUUCUAAUAUUCUUAUUUGUAGUCACUAAUCAUAACGAAGACAUUCGUACAGCUAUAUAUGAAAUCAAACUAUUAUAUAUUCAUAAUAACGCUGACAUUCACACAGCAUUCCAUAUUUUAAAACUACUCUGUUUAGAGUAUGGUUAAAGAUCACUAAUAAUAUAAGAAACCUCGACAUAUCGGGCUACAUAAUUAGUUUUUAAUUACGCACCGUUACAUACUUCGCAGGUAAUGAUCACUGUGUAUGAGUAUUGGUUUAUCCUACAAACUCCUAGUAAAUAUCUUCUUAUAUACAUUUAUUCUAUCGUAAAUACCCCAACUCUCACUGUAUAAUAUGUGUUGUUGUUGUAAAAAUUAUCGGAAGUCGCAAUAUUGUACUUAAUAUUUUACUUUGUUAUAUUGCCCUUGUUGUAGAUGUUAAAUAUCUGUGUGAAAAUAAAAGUUCUGUUCUG